AGUGAACGCUGGCGGUAGGCCUAACACAUGCAAGUCGAACGGCAGCACAGAGGAGCUUGCUCCUUGGGUGGCGAGUGGCGGACGGGUGAGGAAUACAUCGGAAUCUACUCUGUCGUGGGGGAUAACGUAGGGAAACUUACGCUAAUACCGCAUACGACCUAUGGGUGAAAGCAGGGGAUCUGCGGAUGUUGCGCGAUUGAAUGAUCCAAUGUCGGAUUAGCGAGUUGGCGGGAUAAAGGCCAACAAAGGCGACGAUCCGUAUCUGGUCUGAGAGGAUAAUCAGCCACACUGGAUCUGAGACACGGUCCAGACUCCUACGGGAGGCAGCAGUGGGGAAUAUUGGACAAUGGGCGCAAGCCUGAUCCAGCCAUACCGCGUGGGUGAAGAAGGCCUUCGGGUUGUAAAGCCCUUUUGUUGGGAAAGAAAUCCAUCUGGUUAAUACCCGGGUGGGAUGACGGUACCCAAAGAAUAAGCACCGGCUAACUUCGUGCCAGCCGCCGCCGUAA
rnacentral:rRNA from 1 species